CAGUCGCCGCGGUAAUACAGAGGGUGCAAGCGUUAAUCGGAAUUACUGGGCGUAAAGCGCGCGUAGGUGGUUCGCCAAGUUGGAUGUGAAAUCCCCGGGCUCAACCUGGGAACUGCAUCCAAAACUGGCGAGCUAGAGUAUGGUAGAGGGUGGUGGAAUUUCCUGUGUAGCGGUGAAAUGCGUAGAUAUAGGAAGGAACAUCAGUGGCGAAGGCGGCAACCUGGUCCGAUACUGACGCUGAGGCGCGAAAGCGUGGGGAGCAAACAGGAUUAGAUACCCCCGUAGUCCCUGUCUCUUAUAC
rnacentral:rRNA from 1 species